rnacentral:rRNA from 1 species
UCUGCUCAAUGAUUUUUUAAAUUGCUGUGGUAUUUUGACUAUACGAAGGUAUUGAAAUAAGAUUUUAAAUGAGUGCUAAGAGAAUGGUUGAACAAUUAAAGACUUUCUUUAUUUAAAAAAUUAAAUUUAAUUUUUUAAAGUGCAAAAGCAAAAAUGAAGAUUUGGGACAAGAAGACCCUAUGAAUUUUUAUUUAUUUAUAAUUUUUAAAAAUUAUAAAUAAAUUUGAUUGGGGCGAUGGAUAAAGAAUAGAUAUCUUUAUUUAAAUUUAAAAAAU